AUGAAGGUGAUUCGGCGAAUAUGGUCGG
rnacentral:piRNA from 1 species